rnacentral:rRNA from 1 species
AACUGUUAGCGGUGGAUCACUCGGCUCGUGCGUCAAUGAAGAACGCAGCUAGCUGCGAGAACUUAUGUGAACUGUGUAGAAGUCAGUGUGGUCUUGACUUCUAUAGGGUGGCUGUAGACCGGAAGGUUGAGGGUUU